rnacentral:tRNA from 2 species
GCGGGUAUGGUGUAAUGGUAGCACAUGACCCUUCCAAGGUCCUGGCACGGGUUCGAAUCCCGUUACCCGCU